rnacentral:tRNA from 1 species
GGGUCUGUAGUCUAGCUUGGUAAGAGAAGACAAACCUACGGUUUUUCUUCCUCUACCAUCUUUUCCGUUCAAAGAAAAGAUUAGUAAGAAAACCAUGGAGUGUCCCUUCCAAAAGGACCCAGCCUUGGGGUGGCUGAAACCUGAGUUCAAAAUCAGGACGGAGGUUGCGAUACCUCCUCUGAUGAAUAUCUCAGCGGACCCA